GAUGAAGCCCACUUGUGGGUGGAUUAGUGGCGAACGGGUGAGUAACACGUGAGUAACCUGCCCUUGACUCUGGGAUAAGCCUGGGAAACUGGGUCUAAUACCGGAUAUGACCUUCCAUCGCAUGGUGGUUGGUGGAAAGCUUUUGUGGUUUUGGAUGGACUCGCGGCCUAUCAGCUUGUUGGUGGGGUAAUGGCCUACCAAGGCGACGACGGGUAGCCGGCCUGAGAGGGUGACCGGCCACACUGGGACUGAGACACGGCCCAGACUCCUACGGGAGGCAGCAGUGGGGAAUAUUGCACAAUGGGCGGAAGCCUGAUGCAGCGACGCCGCGUGAGGGAUGACGGCCUUCGGGUUGUAAACCUCUUUCAGUAGGGAAGAAGCGAGAGUGACGGUACCUGCAGAAGAAGCGCCGGCUAACUACGUGCCAGCAGCCGCGGUAAUACGUAGGGCGCAAGCGUUAUCCGGAAUUAUUGGGCGUAAAGAGCUCGUAGGCGGUUUGUCGCGUCUGCCGUGAAAGUCCGGGGCUCAACUCCGGAUCUGCGGUGGGUACGGGCAGACUAGAGUGAUGUAGGGGAGACUGGAAUUCCUGGUGUAGCGGUGAAAUGCGCAGAUAUCAGGAGGAACACCGAUGGCGAAGGCAGGUCUCUGGGCAUUAACUGACGCUGAGGAGCGAAAGCAUGGGGAGCGAACAGGAUUAGAUACCCUGGUAGUCCAUGCCGUAAACGUUGGGCACUACGUGUGGGGGACAUUCCACGUUUUCCGCGCCGUAGCUAACGCAUUAAGUGCCCCGCCUGGGGAGUACGGCCGCAAGGCUAAAACUCAAAGGAAUUUGACGGGGGCCCGCACAAGCGGCGGAGCAUGCGGAUUAAUUCGAUGCAACGCGAAGAACCUUACCAAGGCUUGACAUGAACCGGACCGGGCUGGAAACAGUCUUUCCCCUUGUGGGCUGGUUUACAGGUGGUGCAUGGUUGUCGUCAGCUCGUGUCGUGAGAUGUUGGGUUAAGUCCCGCAACGAGCGCAACCCUCGUUCUAUGUUGCCAGCACGUGAUGGUGGGGACUCAUAGGAGACUGCCGGGGUCAACUCGGAGGAAGGUGGGGACGACGUCAAAUCAUCAUGCCCCUUAUGUCUUGGGCUUCACGCAUGCUACAAUGGCCGGUACAAAGGGUUGCGAUACUGUGAGGUGGAGCUAAUCCCAAAAAGCCGGUCUCAGUUCGGAUUGGGGUCUGCAACUCGACCCCAUGAAGUCGGAGUCGCUAGUAAUCGCAGAUCAGCAACGCUGCGGUGAAUACGUUCCCGGGCCUUGUACACACCGCCCGUCAAGUCACGAAAGUUGGUAACACCCGAAGCCGGUGGUCCUAACCCCU
rnacentral:rRNA from 1 species